rnacentral:rRNA from 1 species
GACGAACGCUGGCGGCGUGCCUAAUACAUGCAAGUCGAGCGGACAGAAGGGAGCUUGCUCCCGGAAGUUAGCGGCGGACGGGUGAGUAACACGUGGGCAACCUACCCUGUAGAUCGGGAUAACAUCGAGAAAUCGGUGCUAAUACCGGAUAAUCAUUUGAAGUGCAUGCUUCGAAUGUAAAAGAUGGCUCCGGCUAUCACUACGGGAUGGGCCCGCGGCGCAUUAGCUAGUUGGCAAGGUAAUGGCUUACCAAGGCAACGAUGCGUAGCCGACCUGAGAGGGUGAUCGGCCACACUGGGACUGAGACACGGCCCAGACUCCUACGGGAGGCAGCAGUAGGGAAUCUUCCGCAAUGGACGAAAGUCUGACGGAGCAACGCCGCGUGAGUGAUGAAGGUUUUCGGAUCGUAAAGCUCUGUUGUUAGGGAAGAACAAGCGCCGUUUGAAUAAGGCGGCACCUUGACGGUACCUAACCAGAAAGCCACGGCUAACUACGUGCCAGCAGCCGCAGUAAUAC